GAGCCAUUUUGAAUGAAAGGCUAAGAUGGACUUGUGUGGAAAGGUGGCUGUAUGAGAUUUGAGAGCUCUGGCUGUGUAUGUGUAUGAGAAGCCAUUAGAGGCAAAGAAUAAGGUCUUGAGCUAGUUGAAUAAGAGGUCUGAUGAAACAAGUAUGAACUUGAAUCAGAAACAAAGAGACUUAGAGAGAUUAAGAGAUUAGAGACUAAGAAAGGGGUAGAUUAAGAGAAUCUGAUCAAG
rnacentral:lncRNA from 1 species